rnacentral:lncRNA from 1 species
UGUCCCCCGCCGCCUGGCUCCUUCUCCCGCUCAGCUCAUAAUUAAGGCUGUGCGUCCGCUUCGCCGAUGACUCGGCCUGUGGAGGGGGGCGAGGGAGAGCGGAGGGAGUGCCCUGGAGGGUACCCAUGUUAACUUCCGGGUGCUGGUGGGGCCGUGGAGGCUCGGGCCGUCCCUGCGGUUACUCCCAAGGCCCUCCUGCUAAAGCACCCGGAGGCGGUUGCUUUCCAGAAGUACUGACGCAGACAGGGUGGACGCCGGCGCGCGGGUCUCCGCUUGGCCCCUAGGGACGCCCUUUUCCCGGCGUCCCCGAGAGACGCCUCCAGAUUUGAAAAUCAAUUCAGCUUCGGGAGUAAUUUCGCCCUUCCCACAGUCACGCUCCAAUCUGGAAUCGAACCUGGUCUUUGGGCCUGGUGGGGACGUGUGCGGAGGCCCCCAGUUUGAGACGUACACCCGGCCGCCACAUGCCGCGGCUUUCUUUCAUUUACAAAAGAAAGAAAAAAAAUCCGCAACAAAAGGCAGAGCCGUGUCCGCUUAGGUGCUUUCAUCCCUCAGAGAAAGGACAGAUGUGCCCAUUGUCCAGCCCGUGGCAGUUAUGGCCGGGUCAGCGCCGAGCCUCAGCCCCAGGCAAGCGGUGGUUACAAUGAGAAUAGCCUCUCAGAGCCGGGGUAUCUGGACUCAGAUAUGGAAUAAAGUGUGUGUAGCCUGUGCUGGGCCAGACUCAGACUGUAGGUUUGCUUGCUGGGGCACCGAACUGCAGCCCACCCGUGGUGUUUCCACUGCAAAUGCUCCCAAGCCCUUAGAGAGGCCAAGGCUGUGGUAGUGGUGGUAGUUGGGUUUCCAAGGCAAAAGUUUGGGCUGGCCAACCCUUUGGGAAAAGUUCCCACCGGCCCAGGCAUGAGUAGGCCUAUCUCUUUGCCCAGGUCCCUGCUACCACCAGGGCAACAUCCUAAUCCAGGUAGGUCAAGUUCAGUGGAUACAGUCAACGUGACUUCCUUGAAGGCGGCCAUGUCCUGGGACUGGUUAAUCUAGCUGGUUUUAUCACCAGAGGCACUCCCAUCCUGUCCAAACAAUGCAUAUGGAGGCCCUGCAAAUAAUUCAUCUCAAUGGAUUUCAUGUCUACUUUCAUAAUGAACAGUUAGGAAUUUAGGAACCCCCAGAGAAGAAAAGAUAUUUUAGGGAAAAUACACUGAUGUAAAGGAACUCAGAAAACACGAUUAACUCUUUAAACUUGUAUCUAUAUCUACCUAUUCAUACACGCAUACACACAAGCACAAAACAUAUAUUUCCUGCCUAGUAUAUUACAGUACCUUGGUGGAAAGCUGCAUCUUUGGUUUUUAAUUGUUUCCAUUCUCAUUUCCUACAGCAUGAGACCAAACAAUGGGUUAAAGUAGCAGGGAGUCUUUCAGCUAAACAGUUGUCCCCCCGCCCCCGCCCCAAUAUUUUAAUCCCGCUGAAGUGAUUGAUUUGCCCUUAUGACAACUAUCUUCCCAAAAGGCAGUUUGUUAAAAGAAAGAAAGAAGUAAAUACCACCAAGUGCACAAAUUGUUCAUGGUUUUCUCUUUGUGUAGCUAAUUAGGAACUUGAUCUUGGAAACCCUCCUUCAUGAGAGGCACUCAGCUGAGCCUCUGGAGUCCACCUGAAUAAGGCUGGCAUCAGUUUCCUCUGUUUUAUCUACUUCUUGCCCUUCCAUAUCCCAAAGAGAAGAUGCUCUGUCAAAGGGCUGUCAGCUGGUGCCAUCCGCAACUAACUCCACGUUCUGGGAGUUGCCGAGGGCUGCCUGGGCGGCCAUCCCAGGACACCAGACCACUCGGCUCGUAUCUCUGGUUACUUCCUGCGCUGGGGAAAAAAGAACACGCUUGCUCUCCUGGGUCCUCGGGUAAACUACAGGCGGCUUCUCCUGGGUUGGAAUCCGUUUUGGCGGUCGCCUAAUUCCGCGAGGGCUUUUUCACGGCUUCAAGCCAAGAGCGCUGAAGGGAGGAAAGGUAUACUGAUGCCGUAGGGCUGAGGGAGGGAUUCCAGGCUCCUGGGGUGUUCUUCUGCAGCAGGACCCCUCGCUGGCCGCUGCCAGCCCACUUCCGGAGGAGUUGGCCUCGUCUAGCCAACAGUUCAGUGGGAUUUCUUUCUUGGACAUAACUUCAUAUCAUUGAAAUAGUCUACAAAAGACACCAGCUCAAGCCGCGAGGGCGUUGAAUUGUCCGGAUUUGGGGUGGCGGUUAAUGCUCCUCUUCUGGUGCCUCCCCCGCUGGGGCCCUGCAUUCCAUUAGCCCCGCGCUGGGGUAGAGAUGCCAAGUUUAGGGGCUGGAGAGGACAAGGGGAAGGACGAGAGAACUCUUGCACCGACGGAUGUAGUUCCAAGCGACCCGAAAUGAGGAAAACCCAGAAGGGGCGGACGGAGGGCAAAGUCGGCCCAGGACGAUCUUCAGGCGCACCAUUCUCUCGCCCUGGAGGGACAGGGAAGGGCGGAAGCGGAGGGUGGCUGUCCAGCCGGGAGCCUCUGAUCCACGGGGCUUGGACCAGCCACCCCACCCGAGGGCGGCUGAGGACUGGGCGGCCGAGCUCGCGGCCCACUUAGCUAAUGCCGGGUAAUGCCGACCCCGGCCCAAGAGCAGCAGCUGCACUUGGGAAGGAAAACUCUUUAAACAAAUCAUUUUGGUGUCUAAUCAAUUAGUGUUUGCGCAGUCAAGUACCGUAGAUUUAACAGAAUAAUCGUUA